rnacentral:rRNA from 1 species
ACGCUGUGCUAUAUUUCCACCGGAGCUUGCUCCACCGGAAAAAGAGGAGUGGCGAACGGGUGAGUAACACGUGGGUAACCUGCCCAUCAGAAGGGGAUAACACUUGGAAACAGGUGCUAAUACCGUAUAACAAUCAAAACCGCAUGGUUUUGAUUUGAAAGGCGCUUUCGGGUGUCGCUGAUGGAUGGACCCGCGGUGCAUUAGCUAGUUGGUGAGGUAACGGCUCACCAAGGCCACGAUGCAUAGCCGACCUGAGAGGGUGAUCGGCCACAUUGGGACUGAGACACGGCCCAAACUCCUACGGGAGGCAGCAGUAGGGAAUCUUCGGCAAUGGACGAAAGUCUGACCGAGCAACGCCGCGUGAGUGAAGAAGGUUUUCGGAUCGUAAAACUCUGUUGUUAGAGAAGAACAAGGAUGAGAGUAACUGUUCAUCCCUUGACGGUAUCUAACCAGAAAGCCACGGCUAACUACGUGCCAGCAGCCGCGGUAAUACGUAGGUGGCAAGCGUUGUCCGGAUUUAUUGGGCGUAAAGCGAGCGCAGGCGGUUUCUUAAGUCUGAUGUGAAAGCCCCCGGCUCAACCGGGGAGGGUCAUUGGAAACUGGGAGACUUGAGUGCAGAAGAGGAGAGUGGAAUUCCAUGUGUAGCGGUGAAAUGCGUAGAUAUAUGGAGGAACACCAGUGGCGAAGGCGGCUCUCUGGUCUGUAACUGACGCUGAGGCUCGAAAGCGUGGGG